rnacentral:rRNA from 1 species
UACGUAGGUGGCAAGCGUUGUCCGGAAUUAUUGGGUUUAAAGGGUGCGUAGGUGACCUGUUAAGUCAGGGGUGAAAGACGGUAGCUCAACUAUCGCAGUGCCCUUGAUACUGAUGGGCUUGAAUGAACUAGAGGUAGGCGGAAUGUGACAAGUAGCGGUGAAAUGCAUAGAUAUGUCACAGAACACCAAUUGCGAAGGCAGCUUACUAGGGUUUUAUUGACACUGAGGCACGAAAGCGUGGGGAGCAAACAGG